GCCUGGAUGGCUCAGUUGGUUAAGCGUCUGACUUCAGCUCAGGUCACGAUCUCACGGUUUGUGGGUUCAAACCCCGUGUCAGGCU
rfam:Felis catus isolate Cinnamon breed Abyssinian chromosome B3, whole genome shotgun sequence.